CAGUAGCCGCGGUAAUACGGAGGAUCCAAGCGUUAUCCGGAAUCAUUGGGUUUAAAGGGUCCGUAGGCGGUCUUGUAAGUCAGUGGUGAAAGCCCAUCGCUCAACGGUGGAACGGCCAUUGAUACUGCAGGACUUGAAUUAUUGGGAAGUAACUAGAAUAUGUAGUGUAGCGGUGAAAUGCUUAGAGAUUACAUGGAAUACCAAUUGCGAAGGCAGGUUACUACCAAUUGAUUGACGCUGAUGGACGAAAGCGUGGGUAGCGAACAGGAUUAGAUACCCCGGUAGUCCCUGUCUCUUAUAC
rnacentral:rRNA from 1 species